GGAGGCGGAGGUUGCGGUGAGCCGAGAUCGCGCCAUUGCACUCCAGCCUGGCGACUCAGCGAUACUCCGUCCCCCUCUCCCCGCCCCAAGAAAAAUCUGUUCAGUGGGGAGCGACAAGGAAGGAGCUUUCAGCCCGACUGGGGUCGCAGGGAAGAAUUCAAGAUGGCGUGUUUAGGAGCUCUAGCUCCUUGACAAAUUAGUAAAAUGUUAGUCUUAGGAGAAGAACGAAAAGGCUCUCCUAGGCUAAGAAACAGCAUACACAGUGAGAAACCUCAGAAGAAAUAAAAUUCAAGGAAGAUAGCAACAACGAAAACAUCAGAAGGAACACUAAAGUAGUCAAAUCAGCCUAGCAGAAACAAAGUACGUUAACCAAUGGAAAACUGACGGAGAGAAAUAAACUGUUUUUGCACAGCUAAAUGGAAAUGACUUUUGAAUUAUCUGCUUUGGAAGAUUAUCCAUGACACUGUUCUGCCCUGCUCUGCUCUAACAACAUUUGUAAGUCACUCAACAGUUAAUAAUAAAAGUCAGUUUUGAAUAUUGCAGGUUUUAGACACAGAACAAAUGUAAUGUGACACUGUAGGAAGAAUGAAUUCUCCUUAGUCCCAAAUUCCUUUUUUUUUUCUUAGAUUCGGGAAUAAGUAAAGAUACAAGAUCCUCUUAACCAGUAUCAGUAUAAUUGUUCCCUUUAGAUUUAUUGCUGUCACCCCAAUGCUCUUCUUUCUUUCUAGAGGAAAGGAAAAGAAGGAGGUAAUAGGAAAAGUAAUGGGUUGUCCUGAUGUUACUGUGUCUAGGAUGUCAUUGCCACUGGUCUCCUCAGAUCAAUCAUUCUGCCUAAUAAACAGAAAAAUAACAUGGGCAGCCUCACAUGCAAGCCUUUACACACACUGCUAAAGAGACCUCGCUUCCUCUGAGAAGUGAGGAUGUGAGAAUGAAGGAUUGAUUUUACAGAACUGGAUGACAGGUUAAAUUGGGCAUCUGGAGGUUUAUAUUCCCAUCUCCACUCACCAAGUUUCAUCCUCCAUUUAUGACCAAGGAUAGGUAUAACAUCUGAUCUUGA
rnacentral:lncRNA from 1 species